rnacentral:misc_RNA from 1 species
AAGUCGUAACAAGGUUUCCGUAGGUGAACCUGCGGAAGGAUCAUUAACACAAUUUUACUGUGAUAAAAAUCCAUUUUGAAUUUUCGAAUUCAAAAUGGUAUCCACCCCAUUAUUGACGAACUUUUUGCUUUAGAUGUUUUCUUUGAAAAAGAAAACAUUCUAAAACACCUUUUUUUAUACCCAUAACAUUUUUAACCCCUUUUACAACAUGCCUUAGACUGAAAUGACAAUUUCUUUAUUAUCAAAACAAUGAUAAAAAACAACUUUUAACAACGGAUAUCUUGGUUCUC